ensembl:miRNA cin-mir-92b cin-mir-92b
AAAAAGCUCCAUUUUCGCAGUUUACUUGCAGGUUUGGACCGGUGCACCAGAUUAUAUAAGAUUUCUAUUGCACUUGUCCCGGCCUUCAAAUACUGCUGAAC